AUUGAACGCUGGCGGCAGGCCUAACACAUGCAAGUCGAACGGUAGCACAGAGAGCUUGCUCUUGGGUGACGAGUGGCGGACGGGUGAGUAAUGUCUGGGAAACUGCCCGAUGGAGGGGGAUAACUACUGGAAACGGUAGCUAAUACCGCAUAACGUCGCAAGACCAAAGUGGGGGACCUUCGGGCCUCACACCAUCGGAUGUGCCCAGAUGGGAGUAGCUUGUUGGUGAGGUAAUGGCUCACCAAGGCGACGAUCCCUAGCUGGUCUGAGAGGAUGACCAGCCACACUGGAACUGAGACACGGUCCAGACUCCUACGGGAGGCAGCAGUGGGGAAUAUUGCACAAUGGGCGCAAGCCUGAUGCAGCCAUGCCGCGUGUAUGAAGAAGGCCUUCGGGUUGUAAAGUACUUUCAGCGAGGAGGAAGGCAUUGUGGUUAAUAACCGCAGUGAUUGACGUUACUCGCAGAAGAAGCACCGGCUAACUCCGUGCCAGCAGCCGCCGUAA
rnacentral:rRNA from 1 species